UUAAGCGACUAAGCGUACACGGUGGAUGCCCUGGCAGUCAGAGGCGAUGAAGGACGUGCUAAUCUGCGAUAAGCGUCGGUAAGGUGAUAUGAACCGUUAUAACCGGCGAUUUCCGAAUGGGGAAACCCAGUGUGAUUCGUCACACUAUCAUUAACUGAAUCCAUAGGUUAAUGAGGCGAACCGGGGGAACUGAAACAUCUAAGUACCCCGAGGAAAAGAAAUCAACCGAGAUUCCCCCAGUAGCGGCGAGCGAACGGGGAGCAGCCCAGAGCCUGAAUCAGUGUGUGUGUUAGUGGAAGCGUCUGGAAAGGCGCGCGAUACAGGGUGACAGCCCCGUACACAAAAAUGCACAUGCUGUGAGCUCGAUGAGUAGGGCGGGACACGUGGUAUCCUGUCUGAAUAUGGGGGGACCAUCCUCCAAGGCUAAAUACUCCUGACUGACCGAUAGUGAACCAGUACCGUGAGGGAAAGGCGAAAAGAACCCCGGCGAGGGGAGUGAAAAAGAACCUGAAACCGUGUACGUACAAGCAGUGGGAGCACGCUUAGGCGUGUGACUGCGUACCUUUUGUAUAAUGGGUCAGCGACUUAUAUUCUGUAGCAAGGUUAACCGAAUAGGGGAGCCGAAGGGAAACCGAGUCUUAACUGGGCGUUAAGUUGCAGGGUAUAGACCCGAAACCCGGUGAUCUAGCCAUGGGCAGGUUGAAGGUUGGGUAACACUAACUGGAGGACCGAACCGACUAAUGUUGAAAAAUUAGCGGAUGACUUGUGGCUGGGGGUGAAAGGCCAAUCAAACCGGGAGAUAGCUGGUUCUCCCCGAAAGCUAUUUAGGUAGCGCCUCGUGAAUUCAUCUCCGGGGGUAGAGCACUGUUUCGGCAAGGGGGUCAUCCCGACUUACCAACCCGAUGCAAACUGCGAAUACCGGAGAAUGUUAUCACGGGAGACACACGGCGGGUGCUAACGUCCGUCGUGAAGAGGGAAACAACCCAGACCGCCAGCUAAGGUCCCAAAGUCAUGGUUAAGUGGGAAACGAUGUGGGAAGGCCCAGACAGCCAGGAUGUUGGCUUAGAAGCAGCCAUCAUUUAAAGAAAGCGUAAUAGCUCACUGGUCGAGUCGGCCUGCGCGGAAGAUGUAACGGGGCUAAACCAUGCACCGAAGCUGCGGCAGCGACGCUUAUGCGUUGUUGGGUAGGGGAGCGUUCUGUAAGCCUGUGAAGGUGUGCUGUGAGGCAUGCUGGAGGUAUCAGAAGUGCGAAUGCUGACAUAAGUAACGAUAAAGCGGGUGAAAAGCCCGCUCGCCGGAAGACCAAGGGUUCCUGUCCAACGUUAAUCGGGGCAGGGUGAGUCGACCCCUAAGGCGAGGCCGAAAGGCGUAGUCGAUGGGAAACAGGUUAAUAUUCCUGUACUUGGUGUUACUGCGAAGGGGGGACGGAGAAGGCUAUGUUGGCCGGGCGACGGUUGUCCCGGUUUAAGCGUGUAGGCUGGUUUUCCAGGCAAAUCCGGAAAAUCAAGGCUGAGGCGUGAUGACGAGGCACUACGGUGCUGAAGCAACAAAUGCCCUGCUUCCAGGAAAAGCCUCUAAGCAUCAGGUAACAUCAAAUCGUACCCCAAACCGACACAGGUGGUCAGGUAGAGAAUACCAAGGCGCUUGAGAGAACUCGGGUGAAGGAACUAGGCAAAAUGGUGCCGUAACUUCGGGAGAAGGCACGCUGAUAUGUAGGUGAAGUCCCUCGCGGAUGGAGCUGAAAUCAGUCGAAGAUACCAGCUGGCUGCAACUGUUUAUUAAAAACACAGCACUGUGCAAACACGAAAGUGGACGUAUACGGUGUGACGCCUGCCCGGUGCCGGAAGGUUAAUUGAUGGGGUCAGCGCAAGCGAAGCUCUUGAUCGAAGCCCCGGUAAACGGCGGCCGUAACUAUAACGGUCCUAAGGUAGCGAAAUUCCUUGUCGGGUAAGUUCCGACCUGCACGAAUGGCGUAAUGAUGGCCAGGCUGUCUCCACCCGAGACUCAGUGAAAUUGAACUCGCUGUGAAGAUGCAGUGUACCCGCGGCAAGACGGAAAGACCCCGUGAACCUUUACUAUAGCUUGACACUGAACAUUGAGCCUUGAUGUGUAGGAUAGGUGGGAGGCUUUGAAGUGUGGACGCCAGUCUGCAUGGAGCCGGCCUUGAAAUACCACCCUUUAAUGUUUGAUGUUCUAACGUGGACCCGUAAUCCGGGUUGCGGACAGUGUCUGGUGGGUAGUUUGACUGGGGCGGUCUCCUCCUAAAGAGUAACGGAGGAGCACGAAGGUUGGCUAAUCCUGGUCGGACAUCAGGAGGUUAGUGCAAUGGCAUAAGCCAGCUUGACUGCGAGCGUGACGGCGCGAGCAGGUGCGAAAGCAGGUCAUAGUGAUCCGGUGGUUCUGAAUGGAAGGGCCAUCGCUCAACGGAUAAAAGGUACUCCGGGGAUAACAGGCUGAUACCGCCCAAGAGUUCAUAUCGACGGCGGUGUUUGGCACCUCGAUGUCGGCUCAUCACAUCCUGGGGCUGAAGUAGGUCCCAAGGGUAUGGCUGUUCGCCAUUUAAAGUGGUACGCGAGCUGGGUUUAGAACGUCGUGAGACAGUUCGGUCCCUAUCUGCCGUGGGCGCUGGAGAACUGAGGGGGGCUGCUCCUAGUACGAGAGGACCGGAGUGGACGCAUCACUGGUGUUCGGGUUGUCAUGCCAAUGGCACUGCCCGGUAGCUAAAUGCGGAAGAGAUAAGUGCUGAAAGCAUCUAAGCACGAAACUUGCCCCGAGAUGAGUUCUCCCUGACUCCUUGAGAGUCCUGAAGGAACGUUGAAGACGACGACGUUGAUAGGCCGGGUGUGUAAGCGCAGCGAUGCGUUGAGCUAACCGGUACUAAUGAACCGUGAGGCUUAACCUU
rnacentral:rRNA from 1 species